rnacentral:lncRNA from 1 species
UUAUCGUGUUAACCUUUGCCCCUUAUCUCUCUCCCCAAGCCUUUCUGCUUUCAGUGUCCUUGGAGCCAUCAGCAGCUGUGUCCCCACAAAGCCCUGACACUACUCUGUGUGGUACUACUGAGCCUCCUUAAUGUCCCUCCUUGCUGUGAAAUCUUAGUGCUUCAGCCUCUUCUUGAUGGGUAUCUCACCUUGCCCUUGAAGGAGAGCUUUGCUCAGAAAAUAGAGUCCUGGGAGACCCCAGAGACUGUUCCCAGCAGGAUGUCCAUCCCAUCAGCUGAGAGUCCUCAUGGUCAGUCUCAUGGACCUGUCACGGAGGCCAGCCUGCAGGGCAGGACACAGGAGCACAGGCCGAAGAGGGCUUCCUGUGACUGCUAAGGACAAGCCUUUUGCUUGGCACCUGGCCUGCAGCUGUCGGCCGGUCUGCACCUGCCUGUGCACCCGCUUUUGGGGUCUUUCUCCCUCACCCCAACUGGACCCCUGGCCUGGCCAGCCCUCCCCACCCUUGGGAAGCCUCUCACCGUCCAGCCCUCCUUGGACAUCACAUCCCUUUCGUCUGAUCUCUCUGGGGAAGCCUAUUUGCUGUCCAUGGCUUCUAGUUCUUCUGGAUGAGCACCCAGGGGAUGGCCAGAGCUGCUGUGCCGACUGA